rnacentral:rRNA from 1 species
UACGAAGGGGGCUAGCGUUGUUCGGAAUUACUGGGCGUAAAGCGCGCGCAGGCGGUCUUCCAAGUCAGUGGUGAAAGCCCGGAGCUCAACUCCGGAACUGCCAUUGAAACUGUUGGACUUGAGUACGAGAGAGGUGAGUGGAAUUCCCAGUGUAGAGGUGAAAUUCGUGGAUAUUGGGAAGAACACCGGUGGCGAAGGCGGCUCACUGGCUCGUAACUGACGCUCAGGCGCGACAGCGUGGGGAUCAAGCAGG